rnacentral:rRNA from 1 species
GACGAACGCUGGCGGCGUGCUUAACACAUGCAAGUCGAACGGAAAGGCCCUGCUUUUGUGGGGUGCUCGAGUGGCGAACGGGUGAGUAACACGUGAGUAACCUGCCCUUGACUUUGGGAUAACUUCAGGAAACUGGGGCUAAUACCGGAUAGGAGCUCCUGCUGCAUGGUGGGGGUUGGAAAGUUUCGGCGGUUGGGGAUGGACUCGCAGCUUAUCAGCUUGUUGGUGGGGUAGUGGCUUACCAAGGCUUUGACGGGUAGCCGGCCUGAGAGGGUGACCGGCCACAUUGGGACUGAGAUACGGCCCAGACUCCUACGGGAGGCAGCAGUGGGGAAUAUUGCACAAUGGGCGGAAGCCUGAUGCAGCAACGCCGCGUGCGGGAUGACGGCCUUCGGGUUGUAAACCGCUUUCGCCUGUGACGAAGCGUGAGUGACGGUAAUGGGGAAAGAAGCACCGGCUAACUACGU